UGGUGCUCAAUAUACAGCACAGAAUACUAUUCAGCACAUUGCUCCAACUCAUGAUUGUAUGCAUGCUGGAAAUGGAGUCUUUUGGCAUUUCCCACAUGGUCACACGGAGCAGCUUGGAUCUUUUCUUGCAUGUCGACAGUGAGGUGCAAACGUACACUCUUUGAGCGAGACGACGCUGGGACCUAUGAUCUAAGAAAAUGACAGCACAGAGAGCUGCUCCAGUGUCAGCUAAGUAAAUGUUGGACUUUGAUCACAAAAUUGAGGACUUCACUCCUUGUGUCAAGUCAAGAAUUCACAAUUGCCCUAAGAGAACUUCUCCAGGGUCGCGUCCCGUCGGCAUGAGGUAUUUGCAGUGGGAAAGCAACUCUAACUUUUCAGAGAAUGAAGCUGACUGAAUUUCACCCCUGAACACUUUUAUCUGUCGUAUUACUCUACGACCUCUGUGUUGUAAUACACAGUGAGCCUUAGGGGGCAUUUCUUUUAACACACACACACACACCGUCUCCAGACAUGCAGAUGUAGCUCCUCUGGGAAAUGCAGCAGGACUCAGGCCCUGACAGGCCAGUGGAAGACUGAGUUAGCUGCUCCACACAGCUACACAGAUUUAACACUUCCACUCCCAUCUGUAGGUGCCUAUAACGUGCCUCCCUGCAUCUUUGUUUCUUUUCUUCUUUUAAUUUUUAAUUUUUUACUUUUGGCUUGUCUGCAAACAAAGCAAAAGAGAUAAAGACAUAUUCGCCUCUAAUUCCUCAACCCUCAGAUCUUACCGGACUGUCAGACAUGCUGAAAACUGAAUGUUUUUUUUUGCUUUCAAACUGAUUGAAAAUCAAGCAUCUGUGAGGUGUUCUCAGAAGCUAGCUGUGCAAGCAAACAGUAAACACAGCUUUGAUGCAGAGUAUGUUAACCUCAGUCUGUAACUUAAUAUCGCUGUUAAUGUCUCAGCAAACAGUCUACUAUUUACACCAGUAAUAUUAGCAACAGUAGCAUUCACAGAGCUAAUGUAGAAAAAAGGUAAUACUCAGUACUUACUCUUUUUGUUUCCCCUCAGGUUUUAGUACCUGCCAGCCUUUAGCCCUUCUGUUACAUUAGCUUGUUUGUCAUUCAGGGUAGGUAGUGUACAAUGUUUUAGCGAAGUUUUAUUUUGUAGCUUCACCAGCUCUAAGAGGAACUUUGAGUGGUGAAAUUGGAAAGAAAACAACAACACUGCGUUAACUAAUGCUCAACAUAUGAAAAUAUAUAAAAACUGUUCUGUAUUUAGCAGUGAGGAACUGCAUGGUUAGGUGGCAGUUCACUUUUUUAAUAGUACAGUGGAAACAAAUGCAUGCAGCACUAUUAUCAGUCUAUAACCACACUAGUGUCACUGAGAGGUUAUGCUAAUGCACAAUGCUGCUUUAAACUAAAUGUUAAUACUGGCAAACAAAACUCCUGUUAAUGUUAUGGAGUCAUGUUUGCCAUCUUGUGUGUUAGUAUGCUAAUAUGUGCUAAUUAGCAAAAACCCCAAAGCAUACAUAUUACAUAUAUAUGGUCAUAAACUAAAGUGGAAAUGGAAAGCUUAACCUGAUGGUGGCACUAUGGAUUUAAAGAACCAUAAAAGUUUGUAAUAUUUCUCUUCAGUGAGAUUUAUGACAUUUUGGUAAAAAAAAAAAAAAUCGGUUUGGGUCAAAAAAGCUAAAGCAAAAAAGCUUAACUGCUGCAUAUUAAUGUAAUGCUCUAUAACGCUUUUGAGCAUUCACAUGUCUCAUUAACUCACAGAAGCGCUUUCUGUCUGACAUUCACAACUUGAAGUUCAGUAUCGAUAUGCAUAUCCAAACACAUGCAUCUGUAUCCGUGUGUAAACAGAUGUGUAUAUAAGCCGGCACAUAUGUAUGUAUGUAAAUCUAUUAUAUAUAUCGGUAUGUUUGCAGCUUUGCAUUUUUAUAUUUGUGGGUAUAUAUGUGUAGAUAAACAUAUAUAUCAGGAUAAUGAUUAUUGUUGUUCUUGAUACUGCAUUCUUAUGUCAUUUGAUUUCACUUAAAUCUUACUACCCCCCACCACCACCACCAUUUAUCCCCCUU
ensembl:lncRNA